CUUAGUUAGCAUGUGAAACGAACUCUGUUCACAGUACGAAUGUCUAAACAGCUUCUCAAAGGCAAAGAGGCGACUUAAAGUUAAUGGAGUAUAUCAACUUUUCAGAUUUAGAAAUCGGAAUAAGGACGUUCUAGAAAUUAAUGGACCUACUUCUCGGAAACACUGAAUUGUAGUGUACUGGUUUACUUCAUCUACAUUUAAUAGGUUCGGUUUGCGCAGGGUUGAAUACUUGAAUGUGGACACUGAUAUACACAGGAUCAAAUACUUGAAUGUGGACACUGAUAUACACAGGAUCAAAUACUUGGCAUUCAACCUACAGCGAGACCUCUUCCUGGUGGAAUACUACAGUGAAUGGUCAAAUCAGGAUAAUCUGCCAUGCAACUUUCUUGAGAAGCUUCUUGAGUGCAGGCUGAGUGAUUGUAAACGUUUAUGUCCUGCUGUUGCCAAGAGACAUAAGAUGUCAGAUUUGUUCUGUAUUGUUGAGUGCAGUGAAAGUUGAUAAAAAUGCUAGAAAGAUAUCGUCAGUAUCUCUGCUGUAUGAAACAGUCUUUUGAGUUUGACAGACAAGUUUGGUGGCACUGACAUUAUCUGAGAAUGGCUCACAGAAUUUUGUGGACACUCAAGACUUUUGGUGGAAGAAGCUAGUGAAUUAAUUGUGUCAUCUGUCUAUAACGAUACAAGGACUGUAAUUGGACACAAGAUUACAGCAAAAAGCCAGUCAACAGACAUGAUAUCGUCGGUAUUGUGGUUUGUUAGCUGCAGAAGUAGUCCAGCUUUUCUACAUUGUGCCAUCGUUUUUUGACUUGAUGCAAAAUAACCCUGGAGUGAUGCAGCUUGUGUCAGCUGCGUCUGGUGAUGGUGAUCAUCGAAAGUAAGAUACAAGAAGCUAUUCCGAGGCAAAACCUAUGUCAACACCAGUAUAUUUCCAGUAGUUUACUUUUUGAAGGCCGUAGCAACUUUUUCUAAGUUCACAACAAUUAUUGGGUUAAAUCUGAGGAAAAUUGUGGCUAAAAAAGAUCCUGUGUUUGAGUAAAAAAGUACUUCUAGGCCCUCAAAACCUUGGGUUCAUCAUUGCUUUACCAGAGUCAUUUUGCACUGAUACAGCUGGAGAACACAGUGCAUAUAGUGGUCCCAUGAUUUCCAAGUUUAAGGAUCAUAAUGAUUUCUACUCGUAUGUUAAUAUCAAAGGAAUCGUCUUCGAUGGAGAUUGUGGAUACUGGAAACCAAAAAGAACAAUUGAGACAGCAAAAAACACAACCAUCAACUUCAGAAGUUUUACACCAGAAGCAGAAAAAUUCUGUUGCAGUGAAAUCUAUGGCGAGAAGCAGGGGUUCGCUGGUUUCAUAUGGACCAAUUAAAAGCCAGCAAGCCAAGCAGAGUACCCAGUUCACAUGUCAGGAUGAAUGAGUCUUAUUUCAAUAGCGCCCUCUAUGACAGUGUCUGGAGUGCAGUUGAAACAUUGAAUAGUGAAAGUAAAGAGUGGUUUGGUAGACAAGGCCUGUAGCCAUUGUGUGAUGACAGGAUGUGUGGCCUGUAGAUCUGAAGAUUCUCUCCACAGCCAUGUAAUGCACAGUGAG
rnacentral:lncRNA from 1 species